rnacentral:lncRNA from 1 species
CUACUCCCAUAGGCCUGCUUUGAGCAUUUGAGUGAGCACAGCCACAGGCAAGUCUACAGAACAGACCCUUCCUCUCUGACUUUGUGGCAACUUCCUCCCUGCUGGUCAUCCCACUUCCUCUCCUGGACUCCUGCCCUAACAUGAGGACUGUGUGAUCAUUUCUGUAUUAGGACAUGUGAAGCACCCUGUGUUUCACCAUAUGGGCUGAAACUCUCCUGGAAGCUAGGCAGACAACAGCCCAUCUCCACGAGUUUGCUCAGGUGGAGCCUGAG